UGGACGUAUACUUGGCACAGGACAUCGUC
rnacentral:sRNA from 1 species